UGCAAAACUGGCUAACUAUUUAAAAAUUAAUUAAUGUAAUAUCCCAUAUUAACAAUUUAACAUAAUUUAGCACAAGAUCAUAUCAUGAUCGAUGAAGAAAAGGCAUUUGACUAUUCAUAACAAAACAAUAAAUUAAGAAAGGACACUUUUUAAUCUGAUAAAAAACAUUUAUAUACAAACUACAGGUAACAUCACAUUUAAUGGUAAAAGACUAAUGCUUUCCCUCUAAAAUUUGGAAUGAGACAAGGAUGUCCUUUCUUACCACUCCUAUUCAACGUCAUAAUGGAAGUUCUUCUACAUAAUGCAAUAAGGCAAAAUAAAGAAAUAAGUGGCAUACAUAUUAGAAGGAAGGAAAACUAAUGAUUGUCUAUGUAGAAAAAUCCCAAAUAAGAUACCAAAACAACAGCAACAAAAAGUCUACUAGGAGUAAUAAGUGAAUUUAGCAAAGCCACAGGAUACAUGAUCAACACAAAAAUUAACUGUUGACCCAAGGAAAGAGCGGAGGCCAGGUUUCGACUGUAGCUUCUCGCUUACCUGUGCAGUCUAAUUUUGAGCUGCCUCCUUGUAGUCCUAAGAGACAAGAGCUCCGGUUCUCUGACCACUAACCCAUACGUUUCUGUGGACCAGUCCUGUGUCUACUCUUAGCCAUGGCUCAGCUCCAGACACGCUUCUACACUGAUAACAAGAAAUAUGCAGUAGAUGAUGUUCCCUUCUCAAUCCCUGCUGCCUCUGAAAUUGCUGAUCUUAGUAACAUCAUCAAUAAAUUGCUGAAAGACAAAAAUGAGUUCCACAAACAUGUGGAGUUUGAUUUCCUUAUCAAGGGCCAGUUUCUGCGCAUGCCAUUGGUCAAACACAUGGAACUGGAGAACAUCUGAUCAGAAGAAGUUGUGGAACUAAAAUACGUAGAAAAGUAUACUGCACCCCAGUCAGAGCAAUGCAUGUUCCAUGAUGACUGGAUCAGUUCAAUUAAAGGGGCAGAGAAAUGGAUCUUCACUGGUUCUUAUGAUAAGACUUCUCGGAUCUGGUCCUUGGAAGGAAAGUCAAUAAUGACAAUUGUGGGACAUACAGACGUUGUAAAAAAUGUGGCCUGGGUGAAAAAGGACAGUUUGUCUUGCUUGUUACUGAGUGCCUCUAUGGAUCAGACUAUUCUCUUAUGGGAGUGGAAUGUAGAGAGAAACAAAGUAAAAGCUCUACACUGCUGCAGAGGUCAUGCUGGAAGUGUGGACUCUAUAGCUGUUGAUAGCUCAGGAACUAAAUUUUGCAGUGGCUCCUGGGAUAAGAUGCUAAAGAUCUGGUCUACAGUGCCUACAGAUGAAGAAGAUGAAAUGGAGGAAUCCACUAGUCGACCUCGAAAGAAACAGAAAACAGAGCAGUUGGGACUAACAAGGAAUCCCAUGGUGACCCUCUCUGGCCACAAGGAAGCAAUUUCCUCAGUUCUGUGGUCAGAUCCUGAAGAAAUCUGCAGUGCAUCUUGGGACCACACAAUUAGAGUAUGGGAUGUUGAAUCUGGCAGUCUUAAGUCAACUUUGACAGGAAAUAAAGUAUUUAAUUGUAUUUCCUAUUCUCCACUUUGUAAACGUUUAGCAUCUGGAAGCACAGAUAGGCAUAUCAGACUAUGGGAUCCCCGAACUAAAGAUGGUUCUUUGGUGUUGCUGUCCCUAACCUCACAUACAGGCUGGGUAACAUCAGUAAAGUGGUCUCCUACCCAUGAGCAGCAGUUGAUUUCAGGUUCUUUAGAUAACAUGGUCAAGCUGUGGGAUACAAGAAGUUGUAAGGCACAUCUCUAUGAUCUAGAUGCUCAUGAAGACAAAGUUCUGAGUGUAGACUGGACAAACACGGGGCUACUUCUGAGUGGAGGAGCAGACAAUAAAUUAUAUUCCUACAGAUAUUCACCUACCACUUCCCAUGUGGGGGCAUAAAAGUGAAUGACAAUUUGAUUAUAGAGAUUUGUUCUAUAAAUAAAAUGGUAGAGAACCGUGAAAUUACAUUGAUGAAGAUGUAGCAGUCAGCCUUUUAAAGUUUAUGUAGUGUUUUUAUCCUUCCUAAUAGUUAAUGUCACUUUUUCUUUAUUUUUGUGUUUAUAAAAUAUAAAAUGUGACCUGCAUUCUCUACCCUAUACAAACUCUUGAAAUUCAGCUGAGUUUAUUUCUUUUUAAAGG